AGUCGUACGCUUCUUUUUCCACCGGAGCUUGCUCCACCGGAAAAAGAAGAGUGGCGAACGUGUGAGUAACACGUGGGUAACCUGCCCAUCAGAAGGGGAUAACACUUGGAAACAGGUGCUAAUACCGUAUAACAAUCGAAACCGCAUGGUUUUGAUUUGAAAGGCGCUUUCGGGUGUCGCUGAUGGAUGGACCCGCGGUGCAUUAGCUAGUUGGUGAGGUAACGGCUCACCAAGGCCACGAUGCAUAGCCGACCUGAGAGGGUGAUCGGCCACAUUGGGACUGAGACACGGCCCAAACUCCUACGGGAGGCAGCAGUAGGGAAUCUUCGGCAAUGGACGAAAGUCUGACCAAGCAACGCCGCGUGAGUGAAGAAGGUUUUCGGAUCGUAAAACUCUGUUGUUAGAGAAGAACAAGGAUGAGAGUAACUGUUCAUCCCUUGACGGUAUCUAACCAGAAAGCCACGGCUAACUACGUGCCAGCAGCCGCGGUAAUACGUAGGUGGCAAGCGUUGUCCGGAUUUAUUGGGCGUAAAGCGAGCGCAGGCGGUUUCUUAAGUCUGAUGUGAAAGCCCCCGGCUCAACCGGGGAGGGUCAUUGGAAACUGGGAGACUUGAGUGCAGAAGAGGAGAGUGGAAUUCCAUGUGUAGCGGUGAAAUGCGUAGAUAUAUGGAGGAACACCAGUGGCGAA
rnacentral:rRNA from 1 species